rnacentral:tRNA from 1 species
GGGGAAUUAGCUCAAUUGGGAGAGCGCCUGCUUUGCAAGCAGGAGGUCACCGGUUCGAUCCCGGUAUUCUCCA